CCUAGCCGCCAGUGCCUCGCCGGAGAAGAAGAACCAGACGCUGGAGGAGCUGGCCGCCGCCACCCGCCGCCGCACCGGAGAAGUUUCCGACCGCCGAUCGAGGUAAAUUUUCUCCUCCUUGCUCGUUUUUCGAUGCUGAGUCCGCCUAUGGCCAAACCAGAACCAAACCACCGACCAAACGGCCGAAAAAUCCAGCCGAACCCCAGCGGCGGGGUCGCGCCCCUCCUCGAUUUUUGCCUCCGAUGAGGCCCUUCCCGGCCUCCGUUCGAUGCAAAUUUUAUACCACUGUGAUCACCGUUCUUUUCUCUACAGGUUGAUCGGAACCAAACAUCAAAACACGACUCACGCCGGAGGAGCCGCCGCACCCGAGAGCACCGCCGCCGGUAAGUUUC
rnacentral:lncRNA from 1 species